UUGGAGGGCAAGUCUGGUGCCAGCAGCCGCGGUAAUUCCAGCUCCAAUAGCGUAUAUUAAAGUUGUUGCAGUUAAAAAGCUCGUAGUUGAANUUCGGGGUCAGUAGAUUGGUCGUGCCACUGGUAUGUACUGGUCUUACUGGCUCCUCCUUCCUGAUGAACCGUAAUGCCAUUAAUUUGGUGUUGCGGGGAGACUGGACUGUUACUUUGAAAAAAUUAGAGUGUUUAAAGCAGGCUAACGCUUGAAUACAUUAGCAUGGAAUAAUGAAAUAGGACGUUCGAUCUUAUUUUGUUGGUUUCUAGGAUUGACGUAAUGAUUAAUAGGGAUAGUUGGGGGCAUUAGUAUUCAAUUGUCAGAGGUGAAAUUCUUGGAUUUAUUGAAGACUAACUACUGCGAAAGCAUUUGCCAAGGAUGUUUUCAUUAAUCAAGAACGAAAGUUAGGGGAUCGAAGACGAUCAGAUACCGUCGUAGUCUUAACCAUAAACUAUGCCGACUAGGGAUCGGAUGAUGUUAAUUUUUUAAUGACUCAUUCGGCGCCUUACGGGAAAC
rnacentral:rRNA from 1 species